rnacentral:rRNA from 1 species
GAUUAACGCUGGCGGCGUGCCUAAUACAUGCAAGUCGAGCGAACGGACGAGAAGCUUGCUUCUCUGAUGUUAGCGGCGGACGGGUGAGUAACACGUGGAUAACCUACCUAUAAGACUGGGAUAACUUCGGGAAACCGGAGCUAAUACCGGAUAAUAUUUUGAACCGCAUGGUUCAAAAGUGAAAGACGGUCUUGCUGUCACUUAUAGAUGGAUCCGCGCUGCAUUAGCUAGUUGGUAAGGUAACGGCUUACCAAGGCAACGAUGCAUAGCCGACCUGAGAGGGUGAUCGGCCACACUGGAACUGAGACACGGUCCAGACUCCUACGGGAGGCAGCAGUAGGGAAUCUUCCGCAAUGGGCGAAAGCCUGACGGAGCAACGCCGCGUGAGUGAUGAAGGUCUUCGGAUCGUAAAACUCUGCUAUUAGGGAAGAACAUAUGUGUAAGUAACUGUGCACAUCUUGACGGUACCUAAUCAGAAAGCCACGGCUAACUACGUGCCAGCAGCCGCGGUAAUACGUAGGUGGCAAGCGUUAUCCCGAUUAUUGGGCGUAAGCGCGCGUAGCGGUUUUUUAGUCUGAUGUGAAAGCCCACGGCUCAACCGUGGAGGGUCAUUGGAAACUGGAAAACUUGAGUGCAGAAGAGGAAAGUGGAAUUCCAUGUGUAGCGGUGAAAUGCGCAGAGAUAUGGAGGAACACCAGUGGCGAAGGCGACUUUCUGGUCUGUAACUGACGCUGAUGUGCGAAAGCGUGGGGAUCAAACAGGAUUAGAUACCCUGGUAGUCCACGUCGUAAACGAUGAGUGCUAAGUGUUAGGGGGUUUCCGCCCCUUAGUGCUGCAGCUAACGCAUUAAGCACUCCGCCUGGGGAGUACGACCGCAAGGUUGAAACUCAAAGGAAUUGACGGGGACCCGCACAAGCGGUGGAGCAUGUGGUUUAAUUCGAAGCAACGCGAAGAACCUUACCAAAUCUUGACAUCCUUUGACAACUCUAGAGAUAGAGCCUUCCCCUUCGGGGGACAAAGUGACAGGUGGUGCAUGGUUGUCGUCAGCUCGUGUCGUGAGAUGUUGGGUUAAGUCCCGCAACGAGCGCAACCCUUAAGCUUAGUUGCCAUCAUUAAGUUGGGCACUCUAAGUUGACUGCCGGUGACAAACCGGAGGAAGGUGGGGAUGACGUCAAAUCAUCAUGCCCCUUAUGAUUUGGGCUACACACGUGCUACAAUGGACAAUACAAAGGGCAGCGAAACCGCGAGGUCAAGCAAAUCCCAUAAAGUUGUUCUCAGUUCGGAUUGUAGUCUGCAACUCGACUACAUGAAGCUGGAAUCGCUAGUAAUCGUAGAUCAGCAUGCUACGGUGAAUACGUUCCCGGGUCU